rnacentral:tRNA from 1 species
UCCCAGCUGGCUCAGUGGUAAAGAAUCUGCCUGCCAUGCAGGGAACGCGGGUUCGAUCCCUGGGUUGGGAA